GGAGACAGGGGAGAGAUGGUAGGGAGACAGGGGAGAGAUGGUAAUGAGACAGGGGAGAGAUGGAAGGGUAGAGAUGGAAGGGUAGAGAUGGAAGGGUAGAGAUGGAAGGGUAGAGAUGGAAGGGAGACAGGGGAGAGAUGGUAGGGAGACAGGGUAGAGAUGGAAGGGAGACAGGGGAGAGAUGGUAGUGAGACAGGGGAGAUAUGGAAGGGAGACAGGGGAGAGAUGGGAGGGAGACAGGGGAGAGAUGGAAGGGAGACAGGGGAGAGAUGGAAGGGAGACAAGGUAGAGAUGGUAGGGAGACAGGGGAGAGAUGGAAGGGAGACAGGGGAGAGAUGGAAGGAGACAUGGGAGAUAUGGAAGGGAGACAGGGUAGAGAUGGAAGGGAGACAGGGGAGAGAUGGAAGGGAGACAGGGGAGAGAUGGUAAUGAGACAGGGGAGAGAUGGAAGGGAGACAGGGGAGAUAUGGAAGGGAGACAGGGAGAGAUGGAAGGGGAGAGAUGGAAGGGGAGAGAUGGUAGGGAUACAGGGGAGAGAUGGUAGGGAUACAGGGAGAGAUGGAAGGGGAGAGACGGAAGGGGAGAGAUGGUAGGGAUACAGGGGAGAGAUGGAAGGGUAGAGAUGGAAGGGGAGAGAUGGUAGGGAGACAGGGGAGAGAUGGAAGUGGAGAGAUGGUAGGGAGACAGGGGAGAUAUGGAAGGGAGACAGGGGAGAGAUGGAAGGGUAGAGAUGGAAGGGGAGAGAUGGAAGGGAGACAGGGGAGAGAUGGAAGGGAGACAGGUGAGAGAUGGAAGGGAGACAGGGGAGAGAUGGAAGGGGAGACAGGGG
ensembl:lncRNA